GGGGAUUUAGCUCAGCGGCAUAAGCACCUGCCUUGCAAGCAGGCAGUCGAUCCCCG
rfam:Cavia porcellus supercont2_346 genomic scaffold, whole genome shotgun sequence.